GCAGGGCUGAGCUGAUUCUUUGGUAAUCAGGACUCUUGCUUUCCUUCCUUCAGCUCAAGGCGAGGAAGCACCUGCUGUGUUUGCUGAAAGCCAAGGUUCCAGCGAGGCAGAAAACACUUCAGGUCCUGAUGUUGACAUGAACAGUCAGGUGGAUGGUGUAAAUGAGAUGACAGAGAGUCUGCAGGAAGAUCUCCAAUAGGGCCACAAGAUGAAGCAAAGGAACAAAGAACUGAAGCUAAAUGACAGCCCUCAGCAUGGCAAGGCCUGGCCCUGGGGGACUUGGGAAGAAGAUAGUGUGUGCUGUGGAAGGGGGUGGGGGAGGGGGGAAAGUAAGUUCGUGGAAGAAAGGGGGUCCUUUGCUCUAAUUCUCCAGCUGCAUUUUGUUGUUUACCUACAGACAAG
rnacentral:lncRNA from 1 species